GGAAGUAAAAGUCUAACAAGGUUUCCGUAGGUGAACCUGCGGAAGGAUCAUUAUUGAACGAAACACUUCUGGCUUUAUGCUGUUGUGCUGGCCCUUUGGGCAAUGUGCACACGGCUCUGGUCACUUGUUUCUUCUGUUCCACCUGUGCACUGCCUGUAGACACGCUGUGUCUAUGAUAUUUGUUAACACACAACAAUGUUAGUUGGCAUGUUAUAUAUAAUAAUAAGAUAUACAACUUUCAACAACGGAUCUCUUGGCUCUC
rnacentral:misc_RNA from 1 species